CCGGACGAGGCCAAGAUCGCCUUCCUGCAGGAGCUCCGCGACAUACGCAUGGACUGCACAGGGCCUUGGAUGAUUUGCGGGGAUUUCAACCUCAUAUAUCGCGACGAAGAUAAGAACAACCAGAACGUCAACCGGCGCAUGAUGGGCCUCUUCCGGCGCACCAUCAACGACUUGGCGCUCAAGGAGGUUUACCUCAACGGUCGUCGCUACAUGUGGUCCAAUGAGCAGUCGCCCCCGACACUGGUCCACCUCGACCGUGUCCUUUGCACCGCCGAUUGGGAGGAGUUGCAUGGUGAAUGCCACCUCCGGUGCCUCGUCUUGGUCGUCUCCGACCACAGCCCCUUGCUGCUCGACUGCUCGCCGAUGCCGCCGACGCAUCGCCGCUUCCGCUUCGAGGAAUUUUGGACGCGCAUGGAUGGGUUUCAUGACACCGUGGCGGCCGCUUGGCAUUCUGUAAGCGAUGCCGAC
rnacentral:rRNA from 1 species